AGAGUUUGAUCCUGGCUCAGGAUGAACGCUGGCGGCGCGCCUAACACAUGCAAGUCGAACGGCACCUGCCCUCGGGCAGAAGCGAGUGGCGAACGGCUGAGUAACACGUGGAGAACCUGCCCCCUCCCCCGGGAUAGCCGCCCGAAAGGACGGGUAAUACCGGAUACCCCGGGGUGCCGCAUGGCACCCCGGCUAAAGCCCCGACGGGAGGGGAUGGCUCCGCGGCCCAUCAGGUAGACGGCGGGGUGACGGCCCACCGUGCCGACAACGGGUAGCCGGGUUGAGAGACCGACCGGCCAGAUUGGGACUGAGACACGGCCCAGACUCCUACGGGAGGCAGCAGUGGGGAAUCUUGCGCAAUGGGGGGAACCCUGACGCAGCGACGCCGCGUGCGGGACGGAGGCCUUCGGGUCGUAAACCGCUUUCAGCAGGGAAGAGUCAAGACUGUACCUGCAGAAGAAGCCCCGGCUAACUACGUGCCAGCAGCCGCGGUAAUACGUAGGGGGCGAGCGUUAUCCGGAUUCAUUGGGCGUAAAGCGCGCGUAGGCGGCCCGGCAGGCCGGGGGUCGAAGCGGGGGGCUCAACCCCCCGAAGCCCCCGGAACCUCCGCGGCUUGGGUCCGGUAGGGGAGGGUGGAACACCCGGUGUAGCGGUGGAAUGCGCAGAUAUCGGGUGGAACACCGGUGGCGAAGGCGGCCCUCUGGGCCGAGACCGACGCUGAGGCGCGAAAGCUGGGGGAGCGAACAGGAUUAGAUACCCUGGUAGUCCCAGCCGUAAACGAUGGACGCUAGGUGUGGGGGGACGAUCCCCCCCGUGCCGCAGCCUAUCGCAUUUAGCGUCCCGCUUGGGGAGUACGACCGCAAGGCUAAAAUCUCAAAGGAAUUGACGGGGGCCCGCACAAGCAGCGGAGCAUGUGGUUUAAUUUGAAGCAACGCGAAGAACCUUACCAGGGCUUGACAUAUGGGUGAAGCGGGGGAGACCCCGUGGCCGAGAGGAGCCCAUACAGGUGGUGCAUGGCUGUCGUCAGCUCGUGUCGUGAGAUGUUGGGUUAAGUCCCGCAACGAGCGCAACCCCCGCCGCGUGUUGCCAUCGGGUGAUGCCGGGAACCCACGCGGGACCGCCGCCGCCAAGGCGGAGGAGGGCGGGGACGACGUCAAGUCAUCAUGCCCCUUAUGCCCUGGGCUGCACACGUGCUACAAUGGCCGGUACAGAGGGAUGCCACCCCGCGAGGGGGAGCGGAUCCCGGAAAGCCGGCCCCAGUUCGGAUUGGGGGCUGCAACCCGCCCCCAUGAAGUCGGAGUUGCUAGUAAUCGCGGAUCAGCAUGCCGCGGUGAAUGCGUUCCCGGGCCUUGCACACACCGCCCGUCA
rnacentral:rRNA from 1 species